rnacentral:sRNA from 1 species
UUUUCUUCGUACAGAAAGUAAAUAGAAUAGGUAAGAUAAAUCAAAUGAAUCGUGACCGCUAUACCAUGAUUUAUGAUUAACCAUCUUUUCUAUACACAACGAUGGAAGAAGAAGGAAACAAAAUACGUGUUCAUGAACACCAAGAACAGUGUUUGUUUAGAGAAUGAAAGAAAUGAAUAAAAAGAAACCUAAAAAUCUGAAUAAGCAAAGAAUCAUUUGGCAGUAAGCACAGGAUUCAACUGAAGAGGCCUAGGUGCUUCCAUGGUUCUUCUCUUCCACAGAUUAAUUUCUUUCCGAGGCUGCACACUCAGCAUAGGAGCACCACCGGCCGUCAGAGGAGCAGAGAAAGGGAUUACCACCUCAUCCUCUGCAUCGCUCUCCACUCUAUCAUCGUUGUCCGAAUAGCAAUCCCUUUCAUCAGGCGCAAUCUGGGCCUUCCAAUCGAAAUUCGAAAAAGUCUCACGCCCACUUGCAAAUCGCCUCAUGUGACCCACCGGCGGCGCUCUGUCGUCGCCCGCAUCAGAUUUUUUCCUCGCCGCAGGUUUCGGUUUCCCCGUGUUGAACAACAUCCUCUGAAACUUCGAAGCCCGUUUCUUUUCCUCCGUGGCGUCUCUGGGAGUGGUGGAAUCCGCGGUUUCUGCAGCGCGUGUGGGCAUCGACAUGGUCUUCGGCCCUCCCUUUUUAAUGUGCUUUUUCUUGUGCUUGAUCUGUCCCAUGCAGGAGAUUUUGGGCGAUGUGGGCUCUUGAGUUUCGACGCCGCCAUCCCUGGGUUUUCUUCUAGCCUCGUCGGGAAUCAUGGGGCCAGAGAAGAAGCCUUUUCCGCCAUGGCUCUUGAACUUGUGAUCCCGGCCAGGGCUGAAGGGAAGGUUUUGGAAUGUGACUGCCGCUGCAGCUUUUGGCAGUAUCUUCAAGAUCCUGCUCUUCAGCUUUGACUGUUUAUUUUCUUUCUCCAUGGAUUCAAAUCUGCGAGACCGUUUUUGGGUGACAACAACAUAAACACGCAUUUAACUCACAAUAUGUCACUUUUAAUGUCUCCUUCCUAACAUAUGCAAAUAACGCAGACUGCUUUUUUCUUCUUCUUCAUAUCAGACAAACGUUCGACUUUCGAGUCAUUUGAAUUUCAGCUCUUUAAUCCUUCAAAUACUUUCAGAAAAAAGGUAUCUCCUUCUGUAAGUUACUCAUAUUGAG